rnacentral:rRNA from 1 species
AACGUAGGUUCCGAGCGUUAUCCGGAUUUACUGGGCGUAAAGCGCGUUCAGGCGGUUUGGCAAGUCGGGCAUGAAAUCUCUCGGCUCAACCGGGAGAGGUUGUCCGAUACUGCUGGACUUGAGGGCAGUAGAGGGUGGUGGAAUUCCGGGUGUAGUGGUGAAAUGCGUAGAUAUCCGGAGGAACACCAGUGGCGAAGGCGGCUUCCUGGCCUGUUCUUGACGCUGAGGCGCGAAAGCUAGGGUAGCAAACGGG